UUUGGGAAAUGAUGCCAAUACAAACAAAUUAUCAGAGGCGCCAGCUCUGCUGAUUGUUUUGCACGUCAGUCUGAUAUCCCCAA